rnacentral:rRNA from 1 species
CAGCGCCACAAGUGGCAAUCACGUUUAUUGGGCCUAAAGCGUCCGUAGCCGGUUUAGCAAAUCUUUUGUGAAAUCGUCAGGCUUAACUUGACGAAUUGCAGAAGACACUACUAAACUAGGGACUGGGAGGAGUCAGAAGUAUUCUGGAGGGACCGGUAAAAUGGUAUAAUCCCCAGAGGACUACCGAUGGCGAAGGCAUCUGACCAGAACAGAUCCGACGGUGAGGGACGAAAGCCAGGGGAGCAAACCGGAUUAGAGACCCGAGUAGUCC